UCGAAGCGACGCCGGAAGUGCUCAAGCAAGCGAACAAACAAACCGCCGGCUAGCUCGGAUUUUCUCGAGUUUUAACGACUUUUGAGGGAAUUUCACUCUUUUAAAUCAGCGAGUUUUAUUUUUUAUUUUUAUAGUUUUAAGUUUUAUUUACUGAAGCGAACUGAAAGUCGUGAACACAACUUUACCGGAAGCUAAACUUUGCGCUUAACGAGUUUCAAAGAAAGGUGUAACUUCCGGUGGACGUCACUCAGGUAAACCGUCUCAGGCUUCACCUGUGACCCAACAGGUGUUACUGACGUCACAACCAAUAAGGCGGGGACCCUGGAUUUCAGCAGAUCUGUGCGGCGGUGAAGAGUCCCUCCAGGAGCUCUAGAUUUCUACAUCUGGUGAGU